rnacentral:rRNA from 1 species
AGUGAACGCUGGCGGUAGGCCUAACACAUGCAAGUCGAACGGCAGCACAGUAAGAGCUUGCUCUUACGGGUGGCGAGUGGCGGACGGGUGAGGAAUACAUCGGAAUCUACUUUUUCGUGGGGGAUAACGUAGGGAAACUUACGCUAAUACCGCAUACGACCUACGGGUGAAAGCAGGGGAUCUUCGGACCUUGCGCGAUUGAAUGAGCCGAUGUCGGAUUAGCUAGUUGGCGGGGUAAAGGCCCACCAAGGCGACGAUCCGUAGCUGGUCUGAGAGGAUGAUCAGCCACACUGGACCUGAGACACGGUCCAGACUCCUCCGGGAGGCAGCAGUGGGGAAUAUUGGACAAUGGGCGCAAGCCUGAUCCAGCCAUACCGCGUGGGUGAAGAAGGCCUGCGGGUUGUAAGCCCUUUUGUUGGGAAAGAAAAGCAGCAGGUUAAUACCCCGCUGUUCUGACGGUACCCAAAGAAUAAGCACCGGCUAACUUCGUG